rnacentral:sRNA from 1 species
AAACGUAAGACGCGGUAUUCUAGUCAAUCUGAGAUGUUUUGAAGACGGGCCUAAAAAUUCGUUUAAGGGCAUAUCGAUGAAGUUCCUGGUGUUGGCUUGUAACGCCCCGUUAUGGGCUGAUACUGGGAGUUAAGGUUUGUGGGCGAUCCAUAAGGGCAUAUGGGCGUUGACCCACUUACCGCGGAGACCUAUGUUUGUGCUUUGCUCCAAUGUGAGCAAGGUAUGACUUAGGAUGAAACCUAUCAUGCGGUGUAAGCUGUGGGUAGAGUAGCCUUCCUUGAGUGAAGGACGGGGGAAAUUCAUUUACCUUUAUGUCCUUUGGCCGAAGGGCAUGAAGGAUUGUGGAUAGAAACCUAAUUCGCAAAAGAGGAUAGGAACAUAGCAGAUUGCCAGAGGAAAACUCCUAGACCGUUUGAAAAAGGUUGUGUUUGGAUUACAGUAUGGCUUAAGGCGAUCUGGCGCUUAGUUUAAUCUAAGAGGUCUUUUUAAAGGGAAACCGCUCCUUUGGUGACAAAGAAGUAGAGACUUGGGAAAACCUGCUAGACUAUAUACCAUAAAAUUUACAAAUGCAAUUGUCUUACUUUU